rnacentral:lncRNA from 1 species
UGAAACAGCUACAGAUGAAACAGCUACAGGUAAAACAGCUCAGGGUGAAACAGCUAUAGGUGAAACAGCUACAACGCUAUAGGUAAACAGCUCGGGUGAAACAGCUACAGGUCAAACUCAGGCUACAGGUGAAACAGCUACAGGUGAAACAUCUAUAGGUGAAACAGCUACAGGUAAAACAGCUACAGGUGAAACAGCUACAGGUGAAACAGCUACAGGUGAAACAGCUAUAGGUGAAACAGCUACAGGUGAAACAGCUACAGGUGAAAC